rnacentral:lncRNA from 1 species
AAAAGUUGCAACAACACAGUUAAAAUCACAUUAUUUCCAAAAGCUCUCAGUAUAUGUGGCGCAAUUUUAAUGCAAUCUUUCAUAUAAAUUAUGGUGCAAUUAAUAGUUGUUAUACAUAAUAAUUAUUCUUAAUACAACAAUUACCCAUUUCUUAAUCAUACCAAUAAUACAUAUAUUCAUUAUAGCAGUUUCUCAUACCUACUAUUUAAUCAUAUUUCAUCACCAACAUAUUGACAAUUGAGUGACAUACAUUAACAUAAAAAGAAAAUUAAA